GGCCUGAUGGUGUAAUGGCAACACAUCCUUGUGAUUUAGAUAUGGUUCUGUAAACUGUCAAAGGAAGUUCCUCGUUCAAUCUGAGGUCAGGCCU